rfam:Schistosoma curassoni strain Dakar, Senegal genome assembly, scaffold: SCTD_scaffold0000285
AUUCAGCUGACGAGUCCUAAAUAGGACAAAACACUUAUCCUGGAU